ACACUCAUUUAAGACACAGAAACAUUCAAAAAGGGGCUCACAAAGGGGAUAAGCCAUUGUCCCAUGCAAAGUGUCAGACCCAGUCCCUCACUUAAAUUCCAAAGGAUUUUAAGAAAGCUUAUGAAUUUGUGUUGGGCCACAUUCAAAGCUGUCCUGGGCCACAUGCAGCUGGUGGGCCACGAGUUAGACAAGCUUGCCUUAUAAGAACUCUUGUAAUUAAACUGGAUUCACCUGGGUAAUCCAUGAUAAUCUCCCCGUCUCAAAAUCCUUAUAUUAAUCACAUCUGCAAAGAUCCUUUUGCUUUUCGAACAUGUAAAAUAGCACAUUCAUAAUUAUAGGAAUUCAGACAUGUAUAUCUUUGGGAGGGAGCAUUAUUUGCCUACCACAGAGUGUUCUCUAGAUCCCAGACAUUCAUAUACACCCCUCAUGGAAUGAAAAUAUAUUCAUCUUGUCCCAACAUCCCCCAAAGUCCCAAACAAU
rnacentral:lncRNA from 1 species